UGUUUCAAUGCACAUAUGGGUGUUUGAGUUUUGUAUUUGUUUUAAUUAUUUUGUAUUUCAUUUAUUUGUAUUUAUCUCUUAACAGGUAAUAGAGAAGAGAUAUUUCACAAGGGAUCCAAGUCAGAUGGCGGGUUUCACAGACAGAAAACGGUUCAACUUCAAAAGUUUGCACUACGACUGACGAGCCGUGAACGCAAGAGAAGCGGUCUGUGGUUUGGCCCUGAUGCCUACGGGCUUUUACACCACAAUGAAACCAUCACACACACCCCGC